rnacentral:misc_RNA from 1 species
GAUGAAGAACGUAGCGAAAUGCGAUAAGUAAUGUGAAUUGCAGAAUUCAGUGAAUCAUCGAAUCUUUGAACGCACAUUGCGCCCCCUGGUAUUCCGGAGGGCAUGCCUGUUCGAGCGUCAUUUCACCACUCAAGCCUCGCUUGGUAUUGGGCAACGCGGUCCGCCGCGUGCCUCAAAUCGACCGGCUGGGUCUUCUGUCCCCUAAGCGUUGUGGAAACUAUUCGCUAAAGGGUGUUCGGGAGGCUACGCCGUAAAACAACCCCAUUUCUAAGGUUGACCUCGGAUCAGGUAGGGAUACCCGCUGAACUUAAGCAUAUCAAUAACGGAGGA